UACAGAGGUGGCAAGCGUUGUUCGGAAUUACUGGGCGUAAAGGGCGCGUAGGCGGCCAUCUAAGUCAGACGUGAAAUCCCCCGGCUUAACCUGGGAACUGCGUCUGAUACUGGACGGCUUGAGUAUGGGAGAGGGAUGUAGAAUUCCAGGUGUAGCGGUGAAAUGCGUAGAUAUCUGGAGGAAUACCGGUGGCGAAGGCGGGUCUCUGGGCCGAUACUGACGCUGAGGAGCGAAAGCGUGGGGAGCGAACAGG
rnacentral:rRNA from 1 species